UCCCACUUACCUCCGGUUUUCGAGGCCAGAGACCUUUUCAACACUCCAGGACCAAGAGCCAGCAAUCCGCUGGAGGGGAACCGGGCAGAAGCCCCUGGGACCGGUGCACCGGUUCAGCCCCAUCAGAUGGACCCGCCUCGUCAAAACACCGUUAUACCUCAGGAUGCUUUAACACCUCCGGGUCACUACUCCAACCCAAUGGACAAUCUUGUUGCCGCUGCUGCACGACUGGAGGCCAUUCCAGUUGAAGGUGACUCGCCACAGGCAGUAGAGACGCGAUGGGUCAAGGAACUUCUGAGGACAGCUUUGGCCCAACAGGAGGCGUACUCGUACAGC
rnacentral:rRNA from 1 species